rnacentral:rRNA from 1 species
GCUUAUAGCAUAAAUACUGUUGAGACACCAGAUCCCAUCUGAUCUUGGAAGCUAAGCAGGGUCAGGUCUGGUUAGUACUUGGAUGGAGGACCAACAAAGAAUAGUAGGUUCUCUAAGCU